UAAAUUAGCUAGCUAAAUUCGAGAUGCAAUUCACCUAGUAAUGUCACGUUCAUAUUGUUGUAUAUCUCUAUUCACACAGACAACUCUGUGUGAAUUCGGCAGGCCCGGAAUUCACUCUGCCUGAGCAAUACGUCACCCCAAGAGGAGCAGAAGUGCGAAGCCAUUGACCUGCAGUGCGCUCCACUAUCCAGCCUGAUAGGCCAUUUCCACAUCCUUCCUUUAAAGCUCACCCUGCUCUAUCAACAUCUGUCAUGGGGAGCCUGUGCCUAUCUCAGGCAUCAAGGCAGGAUACACCCUGGACGGAGUGCCA